rnacentral:lncRNA from 10 species
ACUGUAAGGUUGAGCAGCGAGCGGCGGCGGCGGCCGGUACGCGGGUUCGCCGCCAGGCAGGCGUAGGUGCCUGCGUGGCCCGGUCCGACCGCGGGCAGCAGGAGGCGCGACCCCGCGGGCACCGCGGCCUCGGCCGGGUCCGCCAGGCUCCACGUGAUGUCGGCGGGCGGCCGCGAGGCGGCGGCGCAGCGCAAGGUCACGUUACUGCCCGCGGUGACAAAGCGGGCAGGCGCGGCGUCGCGGUCCGAGGAGACCGUGAUGGUCGGCGGGUCCGGGCCGUCUGGAGGGAGGAGGGGUCGGGACCGCGAGUGUCAGGGUCACCUGGGACGCCGCUAGGACUCCCGGAGACUGGGUCCCCAGCCCGCUUCUCCCCAAGGACCCCCUGUCCCCGACCCGAGGCAUCCCCCACUCACAGAAGACGCUGACGUCGGCGGCAGCCUCCCUGUGGCCGAAGGGGCUGCGGACGCGGCAAGUGUACCGGGCGUGGUCGCUGCGCACAGGGCGCACGAUGAGCAGCUGGUCGCCCUCUGAGCGCAUCCGGGGCGUCUCGGCUCCCUCCGAUUCCGCCGCCUCCAGGGCGCGUCCGUCCCGGCUCCAGCUCAGCUCCCCGCGACCUGGCCCCCACCCCAGGCAGCGCAGCCGGAGCUCGGCCGCCCCCUCCUCUGUCUCUGGAGCCUUGGGCUGAACCGACAGCUGGGGUAGGGGCUCUGGGAGAGGGAGAAUGGGCUCAGGACCCACCCAGUCCUGGAGCCCAUCUUUGGUCCCCUUAGAGGGAACCCCAGCCGCUGCUCCCUCUAAGCCCCUGGAGUCUCAGCCCCCAUCCCUCUCCUCUCAUAAACCUAUGAGUUUGAGCCCCCAGACACCUCCUCUCCGGGACCCAGGAGUUCGCCAGAAGAGGCUCCUAGCCUCCUCCUCCUCCCUCAGACCUGGGAGUUCAGGCUCCCAGGAGUCUCCAUCCCAGGGACCCCACAGCACCGUGACUUGCCCAAAGCCUGGCAGAGCAGAGCAGCCCCUGCCGCCUGCACGCCGGACGCCAGGGCCCACUUACCAUACACACCCACCGUGAACUCGUGAGUCUGCUGGGAGACCCCUGCCCGGAUGACCUCAGCCGUGUAGACCCCUGCAUCGUCCAGCUGGGCAGAGGCGAGCUCCAGAACCCCCCGGGCCUGGUCAAAUCGCAGGUGGUCUCGGUGAGCAGGGUCCAGGCUGAUCAGAGGUGCCCCUGGCCCCAGGCCCCCAGCUGCCAGCACCUUUGAGCCCCGGCGCCAGACCACCAGAGAGGUGGGGGGCCCAGGGUUGGGGAUUGGGACUAGGGGGAGCCGGAUGGUGGUCCCCACCAGCACAGCGAGUGGGCCCCCCACCUGCUGGGGAAAGCUUGCAGCUGAGUGGGUCUCUGCAGAAAAUUUGGAUUCAGGGCUCUGGGCAGAGAGUUUAAGAUCCAUAUCAUCCGGGGAGAAUUUUGAAUCUGGGGCCUCAACAGACAGUUUGGUAUGGGAGACUUGAGUAGAAAUGUUUGAAGCUGGGGUCUUAACAGUGAAGGAAGGCUUGGGGUCUUUGGCAGGAACUUGAGGAUCCGAAAUAUCAGGAAAUACUUCAGAACCAGGGGUUUCAGAGAAGGGGGAAACCGGGCUCAAAUCUUGGCCCUCAGCAGAAACAUUUGACCAGAAGGACCCAGACAUGUUGGAACUCAGGGCCUCAGGAAACCAGCUGGAAUCAGAGAUUCCAGCAGAGGCUUUUGAAUCCAGGAACUGAUCUGGAACUUUCCAGCUGGGAGGUUUGAUGGAGGGAACUUCCACACCCAGCCCCUGGGAAGAGCUCUUUGAGUCUGAAGAGAAGGCAGAGGAGAAGUUGGUUUGCUGAAGUCCAGAAGAGGCUCUGAGGAUGAGGCAACUGAAACUCAAAAUAGGAAGGAACUCACCCAAGAUCUAGCUGGCAAAGGUAAGAGUGAGCAUAUGAAAUCAAUAUAUCUGACUCUAUCAGAAGGCCAGAGGAAUGGAACACAAUUUUUUAAAUAAAAAAUUAGUCCAGGCGCUGUGGCUCACGCUUGUAAUCCCA